AGAAUCAACGCUGGCGGCGUGCCUAACACAUGCAAGUCGCACGAGAAAGGGGAGCAAUCCCUGAGUAAAGUGGCGCACGGGUGAGUAACACGUGAAUCAUCUACCUUCGAGUGGGGAAUAACUGGAAGAAAUUUCAGCUAAUACCGCAUAAUACCUACGGGUCAAAGCAGUAAUGCGCUUGAAGAGGAGUUCGCGGCAGAUUAGUUAGUUGGCGGGGUAAUGGCCCACCAAGACGAUGAUCGGUA
rnacentral:rRNA from 1 species